UUAUUGUUGACCUAUGGGGCCUUCAAGCCCCGAAGCCUUCCAACACUCUGAAGAUCGGCGGGAUGACUGUGCAACUGCCAUCCGCCGGGGAGAUGAGCCAAAUGUGCACACAGCAAGCCGGCUCUGACCGAGAGCUUGCCAAGGCUCUGAAGGUGUUCUACCAAAGCAUGAACACGGCAAGAGGGCAGCUUUUCAGACUCAGACGGCACCAACCUCCGGUAAGGAACUGGAAUCCUGGGAGCACACAGAAUUUCUUUCCAUCCAAUUUAGACAUUUGAUGUAACUAUUUCCUGAGCUUGGAGACGUAUAUGCUGAAGCGGAAGAGCAAGGCGAGGAGGCCCUGCUUGACCUGCUCUGUGAGCGCGAAUCUGCUGCCCUCUCAGGCCGUCGUCCGUCUCUGCUCUGACCUUUUUAUUUGAGUGCACAUCCGGCUGGCUCCGCGCUACCACGGUCACUGCACGACUGAUACCCACUCACUUUACAAUGCAAUAUACAGACUACCCUGUUUGGUUUAUCAUUAUAAAACCCAAUGUAAU
rnacentral:lncRNA from 1 species